AAAAAAAGGCAUUGCAAUUAAGAAAACCCUACUGAUUUCUUUUCAUCAGACUGCUUAAUAUUUUCUCUCUCUGAACAAAAAAACAAGCGAUACUGCGAUACAGAGAAAGGGAAGGAGAAAAAAAAAAAACUUGCAAUCUAGUGAAGAAUCGUGCGACCAAACGUUUGUCCCAGAGGUAUUGAGAGAGAGGCGAUGAAAUCGAGAGAGAGGCUAUGAAGACACGGAGAAAGAAACAGAAAAAGAGAGAAGUGAUGAAGACACGGUGAAACAAACAGAAAAAGAGAGAGGCGAUCCUGGUACACGAAGAAAGAAGAGAUCGCCUCUCUGUUUCUGACAGAAUGGCUCUCUGCCUACAAACAAUGCCUCUGAUGGGUUCUAUUCUUUUUCUGAUUUAUUUAUAGAGAUAGAAAUAGAGAAAGAGAGGCGAUGAGGCUUGGGACAUGGAGAAAGAAACAGAGAAAGAGGCAGAGUUCAGUUUCCCCACCACCAUCCGUUCCCUUUCCAGAUUUAGACCACCAGAUUGCUGGAACCAACAUCGACAACGGUAACUAUCGACUGUCAUUCACAUAGGCAACAAAGCUCUACAUCAACUUUGACAUUCCAAAAGUCACAAAGGAAA